AGUGAACGCUGGCGGUAGGCCUAACACAUGCAAGUCGAACGGCAGCACAGUAAGAGCUUGCUCUUACGGGUGGCGAGUGGCGGACGGGUGAGGCAUACAUCGGAAUCUACUUUUUCGUGGGGGAUAACGUAGGGAAACUUACGCUAAUACCGCAUACGACCUACGGGUGAAAGCAGGGGGUCUUCGGACCUUGCGCGAUUGAAUGAGCCGAUGUCGGAUUAGCUAGUUGGCGGGGUAAAGGCCCACCAAGGCGACGAUCCGGAGCUGGUCUGAGAGGAUGAGCAGCCACACUGGGACUGAGACACGGACCAGACUCCUACGGGGGGCAGCAGUGGGGAAUAUUGGACAAAGGGCGCAAGCCUGACCCAGCCAUACCGCGUGGGUGAAGAAGGCCUUCGGGUUGUAAAGCCCUUUUGUUGUGAAAGAAAAGCAGCAGGUUAAAACCCCGCUGUUCUGACGGUACCCAAAGAAUAAGCACCGGCUAACUUCGUG
rnacentral:rRNA from 1 species